UCACUGGAGGGAAUUACCUUUUGGCUAGCACAAAAUAAUUUUUAUUUCUAAUUUAUUUCAUGACAACAGGCACACGCAAAGGGAGAGACCCUCAGCCAAGUGCCUUGUUGGCAAAGAUUGAUUACCCAAUAUCUAAUUAGCUGAGAUCCAAUCACUUAUUAUGCAGAGUACGAGACAAUCAGACUGAAGUCAACUGCCAGCCAAUUGAUUGAUGACACCCCCAAUCCAGCUUUUGUUUGGUCUAAUGUCCUGACGCUUGUUACAACCACCAAAGCUCGCUCGGACAAUGCAGUCUGUCACUCUGACGAUAAGACUGGGAGUGGACCAAGAGACCUGAGACCCAAGGGCACCCCAGCUCCCAGAAGGGGGCCGACAGAGCGGCCGCCGGGAGAAAGCCAGUAUACACCCGAGCACCCAGCCCUGGACACUGAGAACUACCAAUGCACAGGCAGGUGUGAGCACCAGCCACUGGCAGGAAGUUUGGCAGGGGGAAAUAGCCCCGCACACCUGGGGAAGCCCGAGAUAGAGGGGGAGUCUAAGACGAAAACUAGCCUCUUCUAAAGAAGACAGACUUUUGGACAUGAGAAGGCUGUCAGCUAUAAUUGAAAUGAGUGAAAAAAAAUUAUAAUUCUGUCUGUAGGUCAAACACAAAAUAGGGGUAGUUGUUGUGUUAUGUUGAGCUUUUGUGCAUGUCAGUAUCCCUACUCAACUCUUUUUCAGUAUACCUUGAGCAGUAUACCACUGUUGCUUAACUAUCUGCCCUGAGUCUAAUACAGUCAGUUUAAAAAAGUGGUCUGUGGUAUCUUAACUGUUGAAUGCAGAGUAUUUGCUUCCCCCUUUUACCAAGGAGAGCAGUUACAUAAAUAUGUUUGUGCUUGCCCUUGAUACAUUAAUUUUUACUGUAUAGUAGAGAACUUUCUUAAUGUUUCAUCUGAUGAUUUUUGUGCUUUUUGCACAAAAUGCAAAAAGCAGUUUCCCGUUUCUGUUUACUUAAUAAUUUCUUGUGGUUUUGUAUGGUUGUUACUUAGCUUUUGCAGUUAAUGGGCACAAAUACUGUUAACUGAAGAAACAAAUAAUUUUUCCUUUAGUUAUAUCCAAGAAAAAUGGUGUUCAUUGUGUCAAAACGUAGUUUAUUUGUGUUUGAUUCAACUUUUAUUUUUUCCUUUUAACAGCAAACAGUAGAGUGAAAUGACAAUUUGACAGCAUUAAAAAUGUAUAGCAACUCAA